rnacentral:rRNA from 1 species
GGAUCAGUAUGUCGGUCGUGCUUCGGUACGUACUGUCAUUACUGGUUUCUCCCUUCUGAAGAACCAUGAUGUCAUUAAUUUGAUGUCUUGGGAAAUCAGGACUGUUACUUUGAAAAAAUUAGAGUGUUUAAAGCAGGCAUACGCUUGAAUACAUUAGCAUGGAAUAAUGAAAUAGGACGUUUGAUUCUAUUUUGUUGGUUUCUAGGAUCGACGUA